AGAGCCUCUAUUUACAUGAAAUGGUUCGGUCCUGCCCCCAAACCAGGGGCAUACGGUACUUACUAGCAGUGAAUUGCGAGUGAGGAGUGCCAGUGGAGCAUCAUGUCUCAGCUUCCUAAAGGAAAAUCUGGCUUCCAAAAACGAAAAGAAAGACAGGAGAGAGAAAAGAACGGGCAACAGUAUGUCACCCAAUUUUUCACAAAGGAAGGCCCAAAAGAUGCAGCUUCUGUCUCUUCAUCCCUAUACCCCUGAACCAGCCCUACUCCCAACUGAAGAAGGAGGUGCAUGAGGUUGAAGCUGAACAAAGACGUGGAGGUGAUGCUAUUAAAGUUGUCUGCAAAUAUGAAAAAGUCAAGGAGUUCACCUACCAGACUGAAGAAGAAUAAGAAGUAUAUGAACAGGCUCCAGGAUCUGGUGGACAAGCUGCAGCUCAAAGUGAAGGCCUACAAAAGACAAG